GCCUCUGUAGCUCAGCCAGGAAUAGAGCAGGACCGUCCUAAGGUCAAGGUCGUAGGUUCAAAUCCUACCAGAGGCA
rnacentral:tRNA from 1 species